rnacentral:rRNA from 1 species
AUUGAACGCUGGCGGCAGGCCUAACACGUGCAAGUCGAGCGGAUGAAGGGAGCUUGCUCCUGGAUUCAGCGGCGGACGGGUGAGUAAUGCCUAGGAAUCUGCCUGGUAGUGGGGGAUAACGUCCGGAAACGGGCGCUAAUACCGCAUACGUCCUGAGGGAGAAAGUGGGGGAUCUUCGGACCUCACGCUAUCAGAUGAGCCUAGGUCGGAUUAGCUAGUUGGUGGGGUAAAGGCCUACCAAGGCGACGAUCCGUAACUGGUCUGAGAGGAUGAUCAGUCACACUGGAACGGAGACACGGUCCAGACUCCUAAGGGAGGCAGCAGUGGGGAAUAUUGGACAGUGGGCGAAAGCAUGAUCCAGCCAUGCCGCGUGUGUGAAGAAGGUCUUCGGAUUGUAAAGCACUUUAAGUUGGGAGGAAGGGCAGUAAGUUAAUACCUUGCUGGUUUGACGUUACCAACAGAAUAAGCACCGGCUAACUUCGUG